rnacentral:rRNA from 1 species
GAUGAACGCUGACAGAAUGCUUAACACAUGCAAGUCUACUUGAAUUUGGGUUUUUUAACUUAGAUUUGGGUGGCGGACGGGUGAGUAACGCGUAAAGAACUUGCCUCACAGCUAGGGACAACAUUUGGAAACGAAUGCUAAUACCUGAUAUUAUGAUUAUAAGGCAUCUUAGAAUUAUGAAAGCUAUAUGCACUGUGAGAGAGCUUUGCGUCCCAUUAGCUAGUUGGAGAGGUAACGGCUCACCAAGGCGAUGAUGGGUAGCCGGCCUGAGAGGGUGAACGGCCACAAGGGGACUGAGACACGGCCCUUACUCCUACGGGAGGCAGCAGUGGGGAAUAUUGGACAAUGGACCAAGAGUCUGAUCCAGCAAUUCUGUGUGCACGAUGACGUUUUUCGGAAUGUAAAGUGCUUUCAGUUGGGAAGAAAAAAAUGACGGUACCAACAGAAGAAG